CUCUUCUCUUGAACGACGUUACAAAAUGGCGGUACAAGAUUUUCAAACACGUUUUACGACCGAAACUUUUGGUUACACGACAUUUUCCCGAAAACUAGAUGAGAAAAUGUUGGUACUAACCAAAUUCUCUAGGCAAUACCGUUUCAAUUUCUGCAGGUUAGUAACACUGUUAAAGUAGUAAAUCCAAGGUUUGCAGAGUCGGUUUUGACGUAUGCGCGCGUAUAUGUCAAACAAUAAAUAUUAUAUAAAUGAUUUAUGACAUUUGAUUUAAUAAAUGAAUAAAAAUUACACAAAUAACUAAAAAUAUAGUGCAUAGAGAUGAACAAGUUUCUUUGAUGUGCCUUGACAGACAAGAUUUAUGAUUGAAAUCUGGUUUUCCAUAUUAAAAUCAUUGUCAGCCGAGAAACAAAAUCUGUGCAAAAUAAAAUAGAAACAUAAAGAAGGAAGAGGGAAAAAAAUAAAUGGAGAAUAAACAAAUAUAUAUCAGAUAAGUAGCUAAUAUCUUUAUAAAAAAUUAUGUAUUCUAUAUGUGCUUUUUGUAGAUGAACCGAUUCUUUUCUUGAAUUAAUUUUUUGUUUCAGCUUCUUAGCCAAUUGUAGAAUGUUGACAGCUGGACCACCAGAGAACAAUUUCUUGCCGAAUAAAGCUGUCAAAUUCUAAGCCUGCUACUUCUUCGAGUAUGUCAAAAUUGUGAGCAAAAAAGUUGAAAUUAUAUUGUAACAUCAAUUAGAUUUAUCAACGGUGGAGUAACAGAUUGAUACAACAAACUGAGAGCAGGUUUGUCGAAAUUGUUUGUUCUACAAAGCAUAUGUGCUGUUUGUCUCAGCAAUGUACCGACAUUAUUUAAACUAAAAGAGAUCCCAGAUAGCAGGGAGAGUUUAAAAAGAACUCAAUUGUAUGUCACCAAUUAUGUUACCAAUUAUGAAUUCUUUUUGAAUCUCUGUGCUAUCUGGGAUACUAUUGUGUUUAUCGUCAACCUGUCAUGAACGCUUUCGAUAGACCUGCUCAUUGUUUACUGUUAUUUUGUUAUAUAGUCUGCUGAUCGGUAUACACCUUUUAUCUUUCAGCAAACAGAAAAUGUGCUACCUACAUUGGCUUUUACAAGAAUGGGUUUAGAAGUAGCGAUGGAUGCUUGUCCAACAAUCGAAGAUCAUUUCAUAAGUGAAUACACUAUUUGAUGUAAAAUAAACCAAAAUUAUCUUUUUAAAAACGGUAAAAAA